rnacentral:rRNA from 1 species
GAUGAACGCUAGCUACAGGCCUAACACAUGCAAGUCGAGGGGUAACGAGAGGGAAGCUUGCUUUCCUUGUCGACGACCGGCGCACGGGUGAGUAACGCGUAUCCAACCUGCCCCCAACUAGGGAAUAACCUUGCGAAAGUAAGACUAAUACCCUAUAAUUUCCUCAGAUGACAUCUGACGAGGAAUAAAGAUUUAUCGGUUGCGGAUGGGGAUGCGUCUGAAUAUCUUGUUGGCGGGGUAACGGCCCACCAAGGCAACGAUCAGUAGGGGUUCGUAGUGUGAGGGCCCCCACAUUGGAACUGAGACACGGUCCAAACUCCUACAGGAAGCAGCAGUGAGGAAUAUUGGUCAAUGGGCGGAAGCCUGAACCUGCCAAGUAGCGUGCGGGAUGACGGCCCUAUGGGUUGUAAACUGCUUUUAUACAGGAAUAAAGUUAGCCACGUGUGGUUAUUUGUAGGUACUGUAUGAAUAAGGACCGGCUAAUUCCGUGCCAGCCGCCGCGGUAA